CUCGGUGGUUUGUGCGAGCUGGUUCCACCUGAUCCCAUCCCGAACUCAGUAGUUAAACGGCUCAGCGGGGACGAUAAUUCGGCCAUUGGCCGAGUGAAAAUACCUCACUGCCGGGA
rnacentral:rRNA from 1 species